CAAAAACAUCGCCUCUUGCAACUUAAUAAAUAAGAGGUCCCGCCUGCCCUGUGACUGUAAGUUUAACGGCCGCGGUAUUCUGACCGUGCGAAGGUAGCGCAAUCACUUGUCUUUUAAAUGAAGACCUGUAUGAAUGGCAUAACGAGGGCUUGACUGUCUCCUCUUUCCAGUCAAUGAAAUUGAUCUCUCCGUGCAGAAGCGGGGAUAUAAACAUAAGACGAGAAGACCCUAUGGAGCUUUAGACACCAAGGCAGAUCAUGUUAACACCCCUAAAUAAAGGACGAAACAAAAUGGAACCUGCCCUAUGUCUUUGGUUGGGGCGACCGCGGGGAAUUAAAAAACCCCCACGUGGAACGGGAGCUAUUCUCCUACAGCUAAGAGCCACAGCUCUAGUAAACAGAAAUUCUGACCAACAAGAUCCGGCAAUGCCGAUCAACGGACCGAGUUACCCUAGGGAUAACAGCGCAAUCCCCUUCUAGAGCCCAUAUCGACAAGGGGGUUUACGACCUCGAUGUUGGAUCAGGACAUCCUAAUGGUGCAGCCGCUAUUAAGGGUUCGUUUGUUCAACGAUUAAAGUCCUACGUGAUCUG
rnacentral:rRNA from 1 species